AAUGGCCCCUGCACAAGGAUGACACACAAAGUCGUGAAGCGUUCCAUGUUCUU
rnacentral:snRNA from 1 species